UAUCUUGAAACCUGCGAUCCCUCUCCCUCUUUCUUUGUGGAUGUAAAGCAACCCAAGAACGCUAACUCAUCAGUUUCAAGUUCCUAGCGACUCCUCGCAAUCGUAUAACUUGGACGAGAUUGACAAUCUUGAUGAAUUUUCAAGUCAGUAGGUACAGCUGUGGACAGGCGUUGCAAGCUGCUGGAGUGGUGUGGUUCGUUAAAACUUUAUGUUUUGAAACACUUAUUAAACUUAUGGUUUUUCUUUAA
rnacentral:lncRNA from 1 species